UUGGAGGGCAAGUCUGGUGCCAGCAGCUGCGGUAAUUCCAGCUCCAAUAGCGUAUAUUAAAGUUGUUGCAGUUAAAAAGCUCGUAGUUGAAUUUCGGGAUCAGAGUGUCGGUCGUGCCUCGGUACGAACUGGUAUUAUUGGUUCCUACCUUCUGAAGAACCGCGAUGUCAUUAAUUUGGUGUCGUGGGGAAUCAGGACUGUUACUUUGAAAAAAUUAGAGUGUUUAAAGCAGGCUUACGCUUGAAUACAUUAGCAUGGAAUAAUGAAAUAGGACGUUUGAUUCUAUUUUGUUGGUUUCUAGGAUUGACGUAAUGAUUAACAGGGAUAGUUGGGGGCAUUAGUAUUCAAUUGUCAGAGGUGAAAUUCUUGGAUUUAUUGAAGACUAACUACUGCGAAAGCAUUUGCCAAGGAUGUUUUCAUUAAUCAAGAACGAAAGUUAGGGGAUCGAAGACGAUCAGAUACCGUCGUAGUCUUAACCAUAAACUAUGCCGACUAGGGAUCGGAUGAUGUUAAUUUUUUAAUGACUCAUUCGGCGCCUUACGGGAAACCAAAGUGUUUGGGUUC
rnacentral:rRNA from 1 species